rnacentral:tRNA from 1 species
UUUAAUUAGUUUAACUUAAAAUAUUGAUUUGUGGUAUCAAAGAUAUAAAAUAUUAUAUUAAAUUA